AGUUCAAGAACAGCCUCUUCCUCUCCUCUUCAGAAAGAAGAUCACAGGAAAUGGAACUGCGGUGCUCCUUUGACCAAACCAGCAGUGAACUCACCCAGUGAAGAUCGUAUCUGGGCCUCAACACAUUUACAGACAGCAUCUGUGAGAUCUCUGGAGUUCUCCACUGAAUCCUGAUAAUGUCAAUGAAGGACAUGAACAUGACUAAGCUGACCUCUACUGACCGGUCACUGCUCAGUGGAAUCACUUGCUGUCAGCUGUGGAAAUACAUUAUAGCUUAUAGCAAG